rnacentral:rRNA from 1 species
UACAGAGGGGGCAAGCGUUGUUCGGAAUUACUGGGCGUAAAGGGCGCGUAGGCGGCCACCUAAGUCAGACGUGAAAUCCCUCGGCUCAACCGGGGAACUGCGUCUGAUACUGGGCGGCUUGAAUUCGGGAGAGGGAUGCGGAAUUCCAGGUGUAGCGGUGCAAUGCGUAGAUAUCUGGAGGAACACCGGUGGCGAAGGCGGCAUCCUGGACCGAGAUUGACGCUGAGGCGCGAAAGCCAGGGGAGCAAACGGG